rnacentral:rRNA from 1 species
GAUGAACGCUGGCGGCGUGCCUAAUACAUGCAAGUCGAGCGAACAGACGAGGAGCUUGCUCCUUUGACGUUAGCGGCGGACGGGUGAGUAACACGUAGGUAACCUACCUAUAAGACUGGGAUAACUUCGGGAAACCGGAGCUAAUACCGGAUAAUAUUUCGAACCGCAUGGUUCGAUAGUGAAAGAUGGCUUUGCUAUCACUUAUAGAUGGACCUGCGCCGUAUUAGCUAGUUGGUAAGGUAACGGCUUACCAAGGCAACGAUACGUAGCCGACCUGAGAGGGUGAUCGGCCACACUGGAACUGAGACACGGUCCAGACUCCUACGGGAGGCAGCAGUAGGGAAUCUUCCGCAAUGGGCGAAAGCCUGACGGAGCAACGCCGCGUGAGUGAUGAAGGUCUUCGGAUCGUAAAACUCUGUUAUUAGGGAAGAACAAACGUGUAAGUAACUGUGCACGUCUUGACGGGACCUAAUCAGAAAGCCACGGCUAACUACGU